rnacentral:rRNA from 1 species
GCUCGUAGUUGAACCUUGGGCUUGGUAAGCCGGUCCGCGUUUUGGUGAGUACUGCUUCUAACCGAGCCUUUCCUUCUGGGUAACGUUUCUUUCGGGGAGGCGAACCAGGACUUUUACUUUGAAAAAAUUAGAGUGUUCAAAGCAGGCCUUUGCUCGAAUAUAUUAGCAUGGAAUGAUACAAUAGGACGUUAUGGUUCUAUUUUGUUGGUUUCUAGGACCAUCGUAAUGAUUAAUAGGGACGGACGGGGGUAUCAGUAUUCAGCUGGCAGAGGUGAAAUUCUUGGAUUUACUGAAGACUAACUACUGGGAAAGCAUUUACCAAGCGCGUUUUCAUUAAUCAAGAGCGAGAGUUACGGGAUCGAAGAUGAUCAGAUACCGUCGUAGUCUUAACCAUAAACUAUGCCGACUAGGGAUCGGGUGUUGUUCUUUUAUUGACGCACUCGGCACCUUACGAGAAAUCAAAGUCUUUGGCUUCUGGGGGGAGUAUGGCCGCAAGGCUGAAACUUAAAGGAAUUGACGGAAGGGCACCGCCAGGAGUGGAGCCUGCGGCUUAAUUUGACUCAACACGGGGAAACUCACCAGGUCGGGGACACAAUAGGGAUUGGCAGAUUGAGAGCUCUUUCUUGAUUUUGUGGUAGGAGGGUGCAUGGCAGUUCUUAGAUGGUGGAGUGAUUUGUCUGCUUAAUUGCGAUAACGAACGAGACCUUCACCUACUAAAUAGUGCUGCUAGAUUUUUGCUGGUAAAUUCCACUUCUUAGAGGGACUAUCGAUUUUCAAUUCGA